rnacentral:rRNA from 1 species
GACGAACGCUGGCGGCGUGCCUAAUACAUGCAAGUUGAGCGCUGAAGGUUGGUACUUGUACCAACUGGAUGAGCAGCGAACGGGUGAGUAACGCGUGGGGAAUCUGCCUUUGAGCGGGGGACAACAUUUGGAAACGAAUGCUAAUACCGCAUAAAAACUUUAAACACAAGUUUUAAGUUUGAAAGAUGCAAUUGCAUCACUCAAAGAUGAUCCCGCGUUGUAUUAGCUAGUUGGUGAGGUAAAGGCUCACCAAGGCGAUGAUACAUAGCCGACCUGAGAGGGUGAUCGGCCAAAUUGGGACUGAGACACGGCCCAAACUACUACGGGAGGCAGCAGUAGGGAAUCUUCGGCAAGGGACGAAAGUCUGACCGAGCAACGCCGCGGGAGUGAAGAAGGGUUUCGGAUCGUAAAACUCUGUUGGUAGAGAAGAACGUUGGUGAGAGUGGAAAGCUCAUAAAGUGACGGUAACUACCCAGAAAGGGACGGCUAACUACGUG